ensembl:snRNA U2 U2 spliceosomal RNA
AUCACUUCUCGGCCCUUUGGCUAAGAUCAAGUGUAGUGUCUGUUCUUACCAGUUUAAUAUCUGAUACGUCCUUAUCCACCAUCCCAC